UCAGGCCUAACACAUGCAAGUCGAACGAGAUUAUAGGGUAAGCUUGCUUACCUUAUAUGACAGUGGCGCACGGGUGCGUAACGCGUAUGCAAUCUACCUUAAUCAGGGGGAUAGCCUCUCGAAAGAGAGAUUAAUACCGCAUAACAUUAUGAUAUGGCAUCAUAUUAUAAUCAAACAUUUAUGGGAUUAAGAUGAGCAUGCGUGACAUUAGCUAGUUGGUGAGGUAACGGCUCACCAAGGCAACGAUGUCUAGGGGAUCUGAGAGGAUGACCCCCCACACUGGUACUGAGACACGGACCAGACUCCUACGGGAGGCAGCAGUAAGGAAUAUUGGUCAAUGGACGCAAGUCUGAACCAGCCAUGCCGCGUGCAGGAAGACGGCCCUAUGGGUUGUAAACUGCUUUUAUACGGGAAUAAACCUACUUUCGUGAAAGAAGCUGA
rnacentral:rRNA from 1 species